AUUUAAAAAACAUAGCCCAAAGAUUUAUUUUGGGUAAAUUCUGCCCAGCGUAAUUUAUUAGCGGCCGCAGUACUUUGACUGUGCUAAGGUAGCAUAAUCAAUUGGCUUUUAAUUGUAGUCUGGAAUGAAAGGACUAAUAGGGGUUAGCUGUCUCUAUACUAUUAUUUUGAAUUUAUUUAUUAAGUGAAAAUACUUAUACAAAGAAAAAAGACGAGAAGACCCUUAGAAUUUUAAUAAAAUAUUUAAUAAUUUUUUUUUGUUGGGGCGACAUUGAAACAAUUAAACUUUCAUUAACAAUCAAGACAUUUAGGUUUGAAAGAAUAAAUUACCUUAGGGAUAACAGCAUAAUUAAUUAUUUAGUUUGUGACCUCGAUGUUGGACUAGGAACUAGAAGAUUAACCGUCUAAAUAGAUGUCGUC
rnacentral:rRNA from 1 species